rnacentral:sRNA from 1 species
ACUAGGCAUGGUGGCAUGUGCCUGUAGUCCUAAUUACCAGACAGGCUGAGAAAGGAGGAUCAUUUGAGCCCAAGAGUUCGAAGACAGCCUGGGCAACAUAGUGUGACCAGUUCUCAA